rfam:Gossypium hirsutum cultivar TM-1 chromosome 12, whole genome shotgun sequence
UGUUAAAAGUUUUAUCUAUUUUUACUGUUAAAAAUUGGUGUGUCUAAUAAAAUAAUCAAACAACCACAUGUACCUCAUUAUGAUGUACGAAAACCAAUUUUUAAUAAUAGGAAUGGAUGAAAUUUUUAAUA